rnacentral:tRNA from 1 species
UGAGAUGUAGCCAAGGGGUAAGGCAUCAGAAUUUGACUCUGACAUUCAUAGGUUCGAAUCCUCUCAUCUCAG